UAAUGGAUUUUAGCUCUUUGAGUAUUUAUCCAGUAAGUUUUCUCAUGAAUGAAAGCCCCC
rnacentral:snRNA from 1 species